UCCUACGGGGCGCAGCAGUGGGGAAUAUUGGACAAUGGGGGCAACCCUGAUCCAGCCAUGCCGCGUGAGUGAUGAAGGCCCUAGGGUUGUAAAGCUCUUUUGUGCGGGAAGAUAAUGACGGUACCGCAAGAAUAAGCCCCGGCUAACUUCGUGCCAGCAGCCGCGGUAAUACGAAGGGGGCUAGCGUUGCUCGGAAUCACUGGGCGUAAAGGGUGCGUAGGCGGGUUUUUAAGUCA
rnacentral:rRNA from 1 species